UCUUGACCCUGGUGAGAAAUGCAACUUCUCCCUAUGACCCACUCUUCAACCGGCUGUCAGCUCCACCCCAGGAGAAACCUGCCAUGGUCCCUUACCUGAUCACCGUGGUCUGACUCUUUGUAUAUUCAGGACUUCAGGAGAAAAAGAUAUAAAAAGCCAGAAGCAAACAUGAGAAUCAGAAAAAGAUAUGAAGAUGAUAUGCUGCUGAUAUGAAUGACAGAGGAAGAAACUAUGAGCCAAAGAAUGUAGGCAGUCUCUUUAAGCUUAAAAGGGAAAACAAAGAGCUAUAAAUGAAAAAAGACAUUUAUCCAAAAAGAUUAAUAAAAAUUGACAAAAUUAGUAAGAUGGGCAAAGAAAAGGAGAAUAAUGGAGUCACUAAAACCAUCUUGUGGCCAAUAUGCUGAGGUCAGAGGGGAAAAAUAAAACAAAUCUAACCCCUUGAAAAUAUCAUGGAGUCUCUGAAAAAAGCAACUCUAAAAUCAC